UAUACAUGCAGUCGAACGCUUUUUCUUUCACCGGAGCUUGCUCCANCGAAAGAAAAAGAGUGGCGAACGGGUGAGUAACACGUGGGUAACCUGCCCAUCAGAAGGGGAUAACACUUGGAAACAGGUGCUAAUACCGUAUAACACUAUUUUCCGCAUGGAAGAAAGUUGAAAGGCGCUUUUGCGUCACUGAUGGAUGGACCCGCGGUGCAUUAGCUAGUUGGUGAGGUAACGGCUCACCAAGGCAACGAUGCAUAGCCGACCUGAGAGGGUGAUCGGCCACACUGGGACUGAGACACGGCCCAGACUCCUACGGGAGGCAGCAGUAGGGAAUCUUCGGCAAUGGACGAAAGUCUGACCGAGCAACGCCGCGUGAGUGAAGAAGGUUUUCGGAUCGUAAAACUCUGUUGUUAGAGAAGAACAAGGAUGAGAGUAAAAUGUUCAUCCCUUGACGGUAUCUAACCAGAAAGCCACGGCUAACUACGUGCCAGCAGCCGCGGUAAUACGUAGGUGGCAAGCGUUGUCCGGAUUUAUUGGGCGUAAAGCGAGCGCAGGCGGUUUCUUAAGUCUGAUGUGAAAGCCCCCGGCUCA
rnacentral:rRNA from 1 species